UUUCGAGUGUGUAUGAAAUUACUGAUCUUGUGUUUGCGCUCGUUCGCUGGUUUUCGUUUGCAUUUCUUGGGUUCUUUUUUCUUUUCUUGGCUGGUGGGGGUCAACUUUCCCAGGGCUAUCUAAAGCUCUUUGUGUUCGACUCUAGCAGUUGUGCCGGGACUGUUGCCCUUUUCUGAUCCUUCCGGGGGGUGCUUUGGGAAUU
rnacentral:lncRNA from 1 species